rnacentral:rRNA from 1 species
GUCCACGCCGUAACGGUGGCGCUAGGUGUGGUUCCUUCCACGGGAUCUGUGCCGUAGCUAACGCAUUAAGCGCCCGCCUGGGAGUACGGCCGCAAGGCUAAACUCAAGGAAUUGACGGGCCCGCACAAGCGGCGGAGCAUGUGGAUUAAUUCGAUGCAACGCGAAGAACCUUACCUGGGUUUGACAUACACCGGAAACCGUAGAGAUACGGUCCCCUUGUGGUCGGUGUACAGGUGGUGCAUGGCUGUCGU